UAAGAAUGUACAGGAAUUCCAGGAUUGUAAUGAAAACUAUGAAGCAUCAGCAUCCCAUAGUUACAAGGGAAUCAUUGUGGAGUACACAGCUGGCUGCAGAUUCUCUGGAAGCAUGAACAUGGAAAGAGAUGGAAAGCUCCCAGAAUACAGAUGAAAAUAAGGGAGUCAAUGGGCAUAAGAGGACCAACUGGCAGAGGGCAAUGGCAGAAGUCAUAAGGAGAAGGA